CGGACGGGUGAGGAAUACAUCGGAAUCUACCCUGUCGUGGGGGAUAACGUAGGGAAACUUACGCUAAUACCGCAUACGUCCUACGGGAGAAAGCAGGGGACCUUCGGGCCUUGCGCUAUCAGAUGAGCCUAGGUCGGAUUAGCUAGUUGGUGAGGUAAUGGCUCACCAAGGCGACGAUCCGUAACUGGUCUGAGAGGAUGAUCAGUCACACUGGAACUGAGACACGGUCCAGACUCCUACGGGAGGCAGCAGCU
rnacentral:rRNA from 1 species